UACGUAGGGGGCAAGCGUUGUCCGGAUUCAUUGGGCGUAAAGAGCUCGUAGGCGGCUUGGCAAGUCGGGUGUGAAAACUCCAGGCUCAACCUGGAGACGCCACCCGAUACUGCCAUGGCUUGAGUCCGGUAGGGGACCACGGAAUUCCUGGUGUAGCGGUGAAAUGCGCAGAUAUCAGGAGGAACACCGGUGGCGAAGGCGGUGGUCUGGGCCGGUACUGACGCUGAGACGCGAAAGCGUGGGGAGCGAACAGG
rnacentral:rRNA from 1 species